rnacentral:rRNA from 1 species
UGGGGAAUAUUGCACAAUGGGGGAAACCCUGAUGCAGCGACGCCGCGUGAGCGAUGAAGGCUUUCGAGUCGUAAAGCUCUGUCCUAUGGGAAGAUAAUGACGGUACCAUAGAAGAAAGCCCCGGCUAAUUACGUGCCAGCAGCCGCGGUAAUACGUAAGGGGCGAGCGUUGUCCGGAAUUAUUGGGCGUAAAGAGUGCGUAGGCGGCAAAUUAAGUCAGAUGUGAAAACUAAGGGCUCAACCCAUAGAUUGCAUCUGAAACUGAUAUGCUUGAGUCAAGGAGAGGAAAGUGGAAUUCCUAGUGUAGCGGUGGAAUGCGUAGAUAUGAGGAGGAAUACCGGUGGCGAAGGCAACUUUUUGGAAUUGUACUGACGCUGAGGCACGAAAGCGUGGGGAGCAAACCGG